rnacentral:rRNA from 1 species
UAAGGAAUAUUGGUCAAUGGACGCAAGUCUGAACCAGCCAUGCCGCGUGAAGGAUGAAGGUCCUCUGGAUUGUAAACUUCUUUUAUCUGGGACGAAAACGGGAUUUUUAUCUCAAUUGACGGUACCAGGGGAAUAAGCACCGGCUAACUCCGUGCCAGCAGCCGCGGUAAUACGGAGGGUGCGAGCGUUAUCCGGAUUUACUGGGCUUAAAGGGUGCGUAGGUGGGCUUAUAAGUCAGUGGUGAAAUCUCCGAGCUUAACUUGGAAACUGCCGUUGAUACUAUAGGUCUUGAAUUAUCUGGAGGUAAGCGGAAUAUGUCAUGUAGCGGUGAAAUGCUUAGAUAUGACAUAGAACACCAAUUGCGAAGGCAGCUUACUACAUAUAAAUUGACGCUGAGGCACGAAAGCGUGGGGAUCAAACA